CAACCCUCAGGCCCUAGCCGGCCUGGCGUUGGGGCGCCUGCGGUUGACCGCAGGCCCUGAAAGAUAGUGGCGGUGUCCGCUAGCACUCCGGGCGCAGUAGAUCCCCUUCUCGCCGAGGACGUCUUGCGGGCUGCCGGCCGUAAAACACCUUUAUUUUUCCCCUGGAA
rnacentral:misc_RNA from 1 species